rnacentral:lncRNA from 1 species
GAAAUAGUGAAUGGUUGCAGAGAAGCAAAUCUGAGAGUUUUCAGACAAAAGGAAUGACUGUUUCCAAGAAGAAAAAAAAAGAGGUUGAGGAGCACUUUUUUUGGAGAAGAGAUAUCACAGGACUUACCUUAGCAGUGCAAUCACCAACACAGACAAGAGAAGAGAAAUCACUGGAUUGGGGAGAGUUUGGAGAGGAGAGUCAAAUGAGUGAUGAAGUCAAUUUUAGUUUGAAUUCAAAGAAACCGAACAAAAAUGAAUGGGAAAAAAAUUGCAUCAUGUGCUUCAUGACCUCUUAA